CAGAGUUGCAGAACUCCCAAACCCUUGUGAAUAUACCCGUUACCGUUGCUUCGGCGGGCGGCCCCAGGGCGGGGCCGUUGCCUCCCCGUUGCGGAGGUGCUCGCCAGAAGCCCAACCACAAUACUCUUGUCUUACCACGGCAUCUCUGAGUAAAACAUUCAAUAAGUCA
rnacentral:misc_RNA from 1 species